ACUUCUUCCUGACCAGACACAAGCAUUGGCAAUGAAGUUCCUGUAAUAAGCUGUGAAAGGUGCUUUUGCCCAAUCAGUUUUCACUAAUCCACCCCUUGUGGCCCAAUCAUCAGCAUUCCAUAAACUAGAGUAAAUCCUCAUGGGUUGGCUCUUGGGGAACGGUACACCAAUGGAUUCAGCAUUUUUGAAGACUCUAAUGGGGAUGUUAUCCACCAAGAAACUGAGAAAAAGACAAAAAGUAGCUAAUGUUAUUAAGGCAAAAGACAAAGUAGAAGACAUUAUUUGAUGGGUUCUUACAUGAUGUGUUGGGGUUUCCAAAUGAUGGAAUAGGUGUGGAAGUUUCUUGUAGGGUCAAACCAAAGAUAAAACUGUUGUUCUCUGUUGCCUUUGCCUUGUGUGAAGACAUUGGUGUGUAAAAUGUAAGGGUCACCACUCAGAUUCCCUAAGAAUUCAAAGUCUAUCUCAUCAUGGGUUGGCCCUUGAGAUGACAGCUGCAAAACAUACACAAAGAAAUACAUUAAAAAACACUUCUAAAAUGUAACAUAAAAGCUUUGUAACACAUUCUAUAUGUAUGUAGCAUGAAAAAGGUCAUAAAGAUAGGGAUGGUUCAAAACCAAAAGAAUUGGUUAAAAACCAAAAUAGUAAGUUCAUUCUUGUGAAAGAAUACUUUUUCCUCUUCUUUUUGUCCAUACAAAUUCUAUUGUUAUUAUCGGAGUAUGCAAGUUUCGGUAUUAAGAGUAAUAUUUUUUAUUAAAAAAAUAAUAAAUUUAUAUACAUUUAAUUAUUAUUUUUAAAGUUUUAUCUAUCUUUAUUAUUAAAUAUAUGUAUCAUGUAAUAUAAAAAUUAAUUUUUAAUAGUAAUAAUAAAUAAAAUUUUUAAUAAACAAAUUAAUUUCUUUUUAAAAUAAAAUAUAAAAAUUAAUUUAUCCAUUAUUUAAAAAAGAAUGUGUAGUAUAAUCUAACUCUUAAGAUAAUAGUUGAUGAUAGCAUAUCAACUAGCGUAUUCAAAAUAAUGAAGUAGUACUAUAUGUUUAACAUACAUAAUAAGCAGUGACAGUGCCAGCUGAGUUGCCAGCAACAAGCUUGAGUUGCAUAUCAAUCCUUCCAAACAAAUACUCUUUCUUGGAUUUAAAACCAGACCCUGAAACCCUGUCUAAAGACAAAGACAAGAGCUUGCCACCAUUGAAAAUCUUGCCUCUUUUGUCACCCCAUGUUAGGUCGAAAUCCUGGUAAAAGUCACCACCAUGGGCAACAAAAACCAAGGAGUUCAACACCAAACAAGCCAGUAAAGCCAUUGAAACAACAUUACAAGAAGAAGCCAUUUUUGCUUUGAUAUUGAAACUAAAGAAUGAAUGAGUAAAAGAGAGAAGAAGAGAGGGGUUUUGUGGAUAUUUUUCAAAGAGAGGGUGUAUUUAUAUAGGGAAAUGAAAGAAGGGGGGUGGGGAUUUGAUGGUAUGGAGAGGUGGGGGUAACGCGUGAGGCAAUAACUGAGGGAGAGAGCCUAAUAGGAAAGCUGGUGACAGCUUAGCAAAAUACAAUGAAAGCUGGAUGUUUGGAAGCUUUUGUUUUGUGCCUAUGGGGAAGGGUGAAUUUGAAAACUUUUCUUGGGUUUUAGCAAACAAAAGGGAACUAAACUAUAUAAAUAAAGAAAUGGAUUAAUAUAACUUUUACUCCCUAAACUUGGCAAUUAAGUUCAUUUGUGGCACAUGUACUUUUUUGUUAUCCACUUUAGUAACUAAACUUAACAACUAGGUCCAUUUUGCAAGACUUUCAGAAUUGGACUAGUGGUCGAACUGGUUAGGCCAUCGAUUUGACUAGUUCAACCGAUCUAUCCUAUUCGAUUAAAUAAUCAUAAAAAAAUUCAUACAAAACAUUAUAAAUAAAAAAAAUUUGGUUCAACUGUUUGAUUCAAUCAAUCCGUAUUGAUUCCCAGCUUAAUUGGUUCAAAGCAUUUCUUUGGAUUAGUACCUCAAUUGGUUCUUAGUCCAACCGGGUCGACUGGCCGAUUAGGUCUAGUUCAGAUAACCAUGCCAUUUUUUGCCCUUGAACUUGGAAAAAGUAAAAGUUUGAUGACGUGACAUUUCGAGAUUGUGUCAUGUCAUCACCUAAAAUUAUUUAUUAAAUUUCAGGUGAUGAUAUGGCACAAUAUUAGAGUGCCAUAACAUCAAAUUAUACUAGAAUUCGUGUUUAAGGACCGGAAUGGACCUAGUUGUUAAGUUUAGAUUUUAACAUGGACCAAAAAAAUAUAGGUAUCAAAAUUGACUUAAUUAUCGAGUUCAGGGACUAAAAGCUAUAUUAACCCAAAGAAUAAUAAAUGAGGAAAAAAAGGAGGGGGUUUUGAUUUGGUUUUAUGUGAGAAAAACUAUGUACAAUGAUUUUGUUUCCCAUGGAAAUGAGGUAGAAGGAAGAGGGUCCCUUUACUAUGAUUUGCUUAAAAAUAGGUGGGUGGAUGACAACUAGGAUCAUGGAUGGGGAAUAAGUGUCUUUAGUUUAAGCCAUGAUGGACCACUAAUUAUAUGUAAUUUCUAGCCAUUCAACGUUUGCCAUGUGUUCAAAAUGGUAUCCGAGUCAUUGUCUAUUGCUUGCAAAUUAUUCUUUAAUACAUUUUUAUUGGGUCAAAAUUUGAUUUUGGUCCCUCUACUAUGCUUAAAUUUGUAGUUUAGUUUAUAUACUUUAAUUUAGUAUAAUUUAGUUUUAUGUUAUAAGAAUUAGAUCUAUGGUUAAAUAAAUUAAACAAUUGGUUCCUAGUUCAAUAUGUUAAAUAAUGAUUAAAAAUUUCAAAAAAUUCUAGAGAAAUUAAUAAAUACAAAUUCUAACAUUUGGGCAAUAAAUAUGGGACAAAAUCACCAAAAACAACUAUUCAUAUGUUGUUAAGCCAGUUUCGGUUUUUAUUAAUUCACAACGGUUCUCUUUAUUCUGUAUUAUAUAUAAUUGAUCGAACUUGUUGAACCAUCACUUAUCGAUUCAACUUGAAAGCAUUGAUUUGGCAAUUUACCAUUAUAAAAUAAUUAGUUAAUCAAAUAAUUAAUUAACACUGUUAAUUGUUCUAAUUAAAGUGUUGAUAUGAGGCGUAGUUAGGGGGAUUGGCAGGGCCCGACCCCUUAAAAUGAAAAAUUUUCUAUUUAGUCCCUUUAAAAAUGAUACAAUUUUUAUUUAAUCCUUUAAAAAACUAUAAAGAUAUAAGCUAUUAAAAUUGUGAGAUUACAAUUUAAUUUCAACCCCUCCUAAAAGAAAUUUUCAACUUCGCCCCAGAAUGUUGACAUGAAUUUUACCUAGAAACAUCACUUUCAACUUAUCAUACUCACAUGAUUUUAUGUUUUUUUGUGUCGAAAGAAAUGUUUUACUAAAAAAAAAUCCCACCAUUUCAACCGAAAUACCUAAUGGUAUUAACUAUUCUAACUAAUAAUAACAUUUAAUUUUAGAGAUAACUCGAUGUCAAUCUACAAAAGUAAAAGAAUAAAUAAAAACUUCACCACUAAUAUACUGAAUAACAAUCCCUCUAGGAUUAUCAUGCUUGAUUUAGACAUGUUAAUGGUAUUACUACUAUCAUGUUUGAUUGAGACAUGUUUAAUGGUUUUAAUGUGUGUGUGUUUUUUUCUACCUUUUAAAAAUGGGAAUAAUCUUAAAAACAAAGAAAUUAAGAGAGUCACGAGAACACUAGGGUUUUGUUGUAUCAUUGUCUCUUUGACCGUUGGGUAUGGUUUUUUGUUUUUAUAUGUAUCACAUUUCAAACUCUUAGGUAAAUUUCCCAUUAUUUUAAAACCUCAAAAAAAAAUCUUUACUCAAAUUAGAUUAUAAAAUCUCAUCAUUAGGACAAUUUUUGACCUAGUAUCAAGAAAAUUGUCAAAUUUUGAAGCACGGUUGAAUAAAGCCAAGAAACAAAGGCAACGAAUCCGAUAAUCGUAUCAGUUGAAUCGAGAGUUAACGUCUAGAUGCGUGGAUUUUAAUUUUUUAUUAAUAUUUAAGAUAAAUGAUGUUGUUUAGAUGGUUGAAAAAUUGAAAGUGACACUAAGUGUUUUGAAAAAGUAAUUAAGCUAGAACACUACAUUAUAUCAUUUUAUAUUUAUUAGACGGUUCUUGUGUGAAAUUAGUGAUAAUUGAUGGGUAGAAAAUAGAUUAAAGGACCAAAAUGAACACAAUUUUGAGUUUUGAAAUUAUAAUGCAAAUUGCAAAAAAAAAGAUACCUUAGGUACAUUCGCAGGCUUUGCGUGACUCUUAUCGGUCCUUUGCACAAAAAAGAAAGAUGGAAUUUUAUUUAUUUAUUUAUUUUUUAUUUUUCAAAUUUUUACAGCUAUUAUUUAUUUAUUUUUAUAAAGGAAAACGUGAUGAUCAUGUGAAGGGAUGUCUUGAAAUUGUGGAAGCUAUGUACCAUUUUGUGUAUAUGAAUUUUGUGUAAUUUUUAACUUAUAUUUAAUCUUCAAUACUUACAUAUUUUCUUAAUUUAAUCCCAAUACUAAAUAAUUUAAUAAAUUUAAUCCUUUAUAUUUACAAAUUUCUUUAAUUUGUAACAUGGAAAUGCCACAAGUAGGGAUGACGAACAUCAAUGCCCUAAUUUCACAAGAUGACUUGUCAUCAUCUACCUCAUCCUUGUGGAUUGUCUGAAUAAUUAUUAUGUGAUUUUUGCUUUCCCAUAAUACAAAUUGAUAGAAAUUUAAAAAUAUAGAGAGCUAAAUUUGCUUAAUUAUUUAAAAUGAGAAUUAAAUUGAUAGUAGGGACGAUGGUGGGAGCUGGUAGGGGCUUUGGCCUCCUUAAAAUAGAAAAUUUUUACUUUUGAUUCUUUAUACUUUAUAAAAUUUUAAAUUAGUAUAAGUCAAAUUGCACUUCACCUCCUAAAAUGAUAAAAUUUUGAUUUAGUUCUUUUAAAAAUUAUAAACAUAUAGCGUAUUAAAAUGUAGAAAUUGCAUUUUAACUAUCGUAAAAAUAUACAAUUUAAUUUUACCACAAAAAAAUUUUCUGACUUCACCCCUGAUUGAUAGAAUGUUUAAAUGUUUAGGAAUAAAUGUGUAAUUAUACCAAUUAACGCCAUCAUUUCCAUUAAUGAUUCAACGGAGAGUGACUAAAAUAGAAACAAAUGAUAACGUUGAUGACUGAAAAUUAAAUAAAAAAAUUUAUAAAUCGAUAUUGACUAAAAUAGAAACCCGUUAAUACAUAGAUGACUAACUAUAUAAUUUACCCUAAACAUAUCUCUCCUAAACCCAUUUUUGAUAUAACGAAAGAACCAAUCGGUGGCAAAUGCCCAGAUUUGAGUACAAAUUUAUUUGAAGCCCAUCACUUAAAAAUAAGUGCAUAAAACCAAAGAUGCUAAGAUCCUAAGCUCACAUUUUUUCUGAACCCUAUGACAAUAGCUUUGACCCCAUGAUAAUGGAACCAAUUUAGAUGAGGUGUGAAAUCACGCAUGGUUUCGAUUUCACUAUGCACACACAUUCACAAUUGGUAACAUAAUCUUUAUGAGGUAAUAUGCAAUAAUUGAUCUACUUAUUUUACUUCAGAAAAGGUCAGAAAAGAAAAUAAAUAAAGGACCAGAUAUUCAGUAACCUGUUUUGGAAAAGUAAGAGAAUUUGUUGCUAUUAUUAGAAAACCUUUGUAUCAUCAUCAUCAUCAUCAUCGUUGCUUUCGUAGCAAAGUAGAGCAGCUAAAUUGCUCUUAGCUUAAAAAUAGUGAGGAUGAUGAGAUUAAAUAUUAUAACAGUACUGUAAUGUGAAAUAAAAAAAUAAAAUACACCAUACUAAAAAUAAACACCCAUUCAAAAAGACUCUUAAUAGCUCUAAUAUUUUCUAAAGGGAAAGGGGAAAAUGUCUCUUUAACAUUUCUUGUGCAAAAAUGUUAUUAUUUUUGAGUUUUAGUCGGAUUUGUUGCCAUGAGACAAUAUUUAAUAAAUUUAAAAUUGAAUAAUUUUUAUUUAUUUUUAUACUACAAAAUUUGUAUUUAUAUAAAAUUUGUUCUCUUUUGUUUCGAUUUGAUUAUGUUUAUUUCGGUCUAAGAGUUAGGCUAUUUGUUUAAGCUCGAAAGCUUAUUCAAUAUUUGAGAGAUUUUUUAAAAAAAAAAUUAGACUUAAACAAAAAAUUAAGGUAGUUUAAAAUAUAAAUCUAGAUUGUGUUCUAAAAUUCACAACUAAGCUUUGAUUAGCCCGGUUUUCAAUUCUUCUAGAACUAAUAUAUUUGAGAGAGUUUUCCUUUAUUAGACUUAAAAACUGGACUCGGACAAAAAAAUUGUUCUAUUUAAGAAAUGAAUUAAGCUUAGAUUCUAAACUUGACAAUUAGGCUCUAGUUGACCCAUUUUUCAAUAUAUAUCAUAUUUUAUAUUAUAUGAAAAUUAAAUUAUAAUAUUAAAAAUAUUUAAGUUGUAUAUGAAAGUUUAAUAAAAAGUAUAUAAAAUAGUAAAUAUUUAAUAAAAAAUAUUUUAUAAGAAUCUUAUACGUAUAUUUCAAAUCAAAACUUGAACAAUUAUAUAUGGUGUUGAUGUGAUACAUAAACUUGACAUGAACCCAAUCGAUACACAUUUUUACUUUAGAGCAAGGUUGUUUGAACUGGUUUGGGGAAGAAUAUUAAACUGUUGAUCCAAAUAUUGGUAUGAAUUGAUUAAACUAAGACAAAUCGGUUAAAUCAAAUUUUUAAUUUUUAAUAAAUUAUUUAAUUAAAUCGAAUGAAUAAUUUAACCUUUUAAAUAAAUAAAUUAAUAAAUUAAUUAACUGAUUGGUUCGAUUAAACCCACAAACCAACCAAUAACAUGACCCAUAACAAGAUUAUCUCUCAUUAUAGAGUUUAACAUCACAUAUAAAAACAAUGAUUAAAAUAAUAACGUAUUUAUAUAGCAAUGAUUGAUCAUAAUUGAUGAUAGCUAAAAUUAUCUAAACCCAUUACCUAUCUAAAAUGCUGUAUUGCUGGAUGCAAUUAGUGUUACAUAAUUAUACUCACAUCAGCACCAAAUGAUGUAUUAUUAUAUCCUUCCAAUUAUUCUCCAUCAGAGAUAAUGGCCAAUUAAAGUAAAUCCCUUGAUUAUAUAAAUAUGUAACCUUUUUUUAUUAGGUUUAUUAUAUAAAAAGCCCCUUGAAAAUAAUUCAAUAAUUAAUUGAGCCCUCAAUUGAAAACAACACUAGCCGGACUUUUUCUUUUAAAAAUUUAACAAUUUAAUGACCAUUUUAUAAUUUUUUUAAAUUUAAAAAUCAAAACAUAAAUUUACUAAUAAUUUAACGACCUCAAAUAUAGUUUAUCUUUUUUUAUUUAUUUUAAACUUGGAUAAAUCUAGAAAUACAUGGGUAGUGCUAGUGGGGUAUGCUAGCCUUCACCCUCAAAAUAUAGAAUUUUUAAUUUCGUUCCUUUAAAAUGUGUAAAAGUUUAAGUUAAUCUAAUAGUAAAAUUAUAUUAUGACCUUUUUAAAAUUUGAUCCGUUCAAACAUAAAAAUUUAUAAUUUAAUCUAUCAAAGAAUAAUAAAAUUUUAAAUGAUGAAACUCUAUUUAAAUUCUUUUUAAAGAUUUAUAAUUUAAAUCUAACUCUUUAAAAAAAAUUUCAUGAAUGUGCCUUUGCAUGUGAGCUAAAGGCGUUGUUUAUAUAUAUGCAGGCCCGACCCUGGGGUAGUUUGGUAGUGCGGCAGUUCAGGGUCCAGGGUUGGAAGGGGCCUAAAAUUUUUUUUUCUUUAGCUUUUAAUGAAAAAAAAAUUCAACCUUUUCUAUUUUCUGAUCGAUGCUUUAUUGUACAUAGAAAAAAAAGAGGGCCCCAAUCUUUUUAUUUUAUUACUAGUAUAUAUUUUUAUUUUAUUGUAUUACAUUUUAUAAAUUUUUUACAAGGGAUCCCAACUUAUUAUUUUACUGAAGGUCCCAAAAAUAUCAAGAACGAACGUGUAUAUAUGCACACGGAUAAUGUAGUAUAAAAUUCUUAAAAUAUAAACUCAAGGGAGACAAUUUCGAUAUUUUAUAGGGUUAAAAUGUGAAAGAAGGAACGAUCAAAUCAUUAUGUAGGUAGGUGCUUUCCAUUUCUUUAAAGAAGCUAUAUAACUGAGCCAAUAGAAAAUGAAAAAUUUACUUCUAAAUUUAUUUAUAAUAUAUUUAUUAAUGUUUCAGAAUAAAGAAAUGUUUAUUUAAAUUUAUUUAUUAUCUAUAUAUAUUAAUUUGGUAAUAAUACACGAAUAAAUUAAUCGCUUUAAAUUCUAUUGAUUGUAUUAUUAAUUAAUAAAUUGUCGAUGAAUCAAAUCAAUCAAAAUCGAAAUUGAAUGAUUUAUGUAAGUUGAUAGGUAUAUUAAAGCUAAAUAUCUACAAUGUAGGAAGAAAAAUAAAUGAAAUAAAUUAGGCAAAUGAAUGAUAUUGAUUGGAAGGUUAGGAAACCAAAAGCAAUAGCUUUGAACAGCUCAUGUAUAUAGUUGGGUUCCUACUUGUCUCAUUAUUUAUAGCUCUUUCAAAUGUGAAAUUGAGAUAACCUCUAUCCCUUGGGGGACCAUUUGUUUAAAUAUCAGGGGACUUCAAAAAAAUUAUUAUUAUUUUUGUUAUAAAAGAUACAUGCAUGCACCGUAUUUGAAAUUUUGCAUAAAAUCACAACUAAUAUUGCAUUUAAAAAGUAAAUCAAUAUAUAUUAUAUUCAAAUUAGAAAUAUUUUUAAUACAUCCGUUUUAAUUCGGGUUUUGUAUAAGCUGGAUUUAGUUUUUAUACUUUAAUUUGAUUAUUUUUAGUCAAUGUCAGAAGAAAAGUUAGGAGGUUGACAGGGGCUUAGCCAUCCUAAAAAUGCAAAUGUUCAGUUUAGUCUCUCUAAAAAUAAUAAAAUUGUAGAUUAAUAUAUGAUAAAAUUAUAUUUUGGCCCCCUAAACAUGAAAAAAAUUAAAUUUAGUCCCUUCAAAAAUAAUGGAAUUAUAAACUAAUAAAUGGUAAAAUUACAUUCUUUUAAAAAAUUUAUAAUUCAAUUCCGCUCCCCCUAUUUUUUUUUUGGCUUCGUCCCUGGUUUUUGUACUUUACAAAUUGGUCAAUUUUAGUCUAGGCCAAACGGUAACAACCAAACUUGUUUGGAUAAAUUCUACUAUUAGUCAUGUACUAUGCGUAACAUUGUAAAUUCAGCCAAUUUUCUCCAAUUGGACCGUCCUUAAUCCCUGUACAUUUCGAAUUUUGAAAUUCCAAUCUUAACCCAAGCAACUAUCUUUAAAUCCAUUAACUGGCUUUUUUUUUUUAGUAAUAUGUAGAAAUAGUAAGCUGUUGCACAUUUGAAAAUAUGUUUGCCACAUCAGAUUUGGGAAAUAAUAGAACUUAAUGAAUUUAACAUUUAUCAUUUGAUUAGACUGAAAUGUUAAAAUUCACAAAGUACAUGGAUAAAAAAUGACUAAAUUAAAAUAAAGGGACAAAAUUCAUAACUUACAUAUAGUACAAGGACUUACAUCAAAAUUUAACCAAUUCCAAAAGGUAUGUAUGCUUGCGAAUAUUUAGUGGUUGCAAGAAAUGCAUGGAAGAGGUAUGUAUGCUUGUGCCUUGUUAUCAUUAUCUAAUUUAUAGGAGCAAUUAAUUAAAGAUCCAUAUUUUCAUUUUUCAAUGUAGGAUUGAAUUCCCUUUUCUUCUAAACUACUUAAAUCUCAAAACAAUUAGGGAUGGAUCCAAAGUAUUUCAAACAUAUUCACUUUUAUUUUAAAAAUUAAUAAUUUAAUUUAAACCCAAAAAAUUCUUUACUUUAUCGUUCACUUCAACACUCAUGAUACUUCGCUAUGAUUAGUUAAUUUAUCUAUUUAAUUGGAAUGCUUGACAUGGCUUAUCACAACUAGUUAUACUCAUACUUAGGCGAGCACGUAAGUGUCAUGCCAAAUGCUCUAAAGAAAUAAGUAAUGCUUAGUAAUCCCACAUUAGAAAAAAAAAAAAAAGAAAAUCCUGAGAUAUAUAAACGAUUAUGCUGCAAUCUUAUCUUUUGGAAAGAAAGUAAUGACGGCCUUUCUCCAAAAAUAUAAAAUUUUCAAUCAAUUUACUCUUCAAAAAUUUCCGAUUCAAUCUUAACCUCCUCCCCUUUAUUAUACUUAUAAAAUUUUGACGCCGAAUUGAAACACUCUUUCCAUUCUCUUUCAUAAACGCCAUGACUUGACAAAUGCUAACGUUUUCUCAUGAAUGUUGUUGGUUGAUAGUACUAAAGAAAUGGGGGAAUGGUUGAACAUAUGUAAUUCACCAACCCAACAUCAAGAAAGAAGGUAGCUCGGCGGUGGUGAGUGUGAAAGUUGGGGGACCUUUUUUAAAAAUUUUAUGAUUGCAAUUUCUUUAAAGAUUCCCCCCAUUUGUAAUUGGACUGUCACAUUAGACGCGUGAUUGAUUCCUAUGCUUUUUUUUUUUGGGGGGGGGGGGGGGAGAGGGGUUCCUUUUUUAUUAUGAAAUGGCAACAAAAACAUCAUCAUUGAUAUGCCCUUUUUAAAGGGGAAUUUUUUGCUAUAACAUAUUCUUGGAAUUUGAGUUCCUUCACCAACACUCACAAGAAAUCAAUUCUAGGGUAUUCAGAUUUUUGUACAAUUCUUACUUUCCUAGUUGUAUGACUUCAAUGAAAUAAUAUAUAUAACGGUUAGAAUUUAAAAUAUGUGGUUUGGAUGUUCCGAAAAUUUAUAGUUUAGAUUUUAGGUUUGAAUUUUAUUUUUUUUAAUGAAAAAUAUAAGAGAAUACGAGUUUAAGUACGUUGAAAUAUAUUUUUAUCAUAUUAAUAGAUUAGAAAGAGACUAUGAAUAGGUCUAGACAUUAUGUUAAAAAAAUAUAGAUAUAAUCAGAACCUAUAAUGAGAUUAUCAAAAAAAUUAUAAAUUUAAUUUCAAUAUUUUUUAUUUUUUAAAAUUUGGUCAAAUUAUUAUUUUUAUGAAAAUUUUUUUGAUUGAAUUGUUAACAUUCAUGUCAGCUUCUUUAUAUAUAUAUAUACACAUUACCUUGAGUAAAGGUAAAUUACUUUUUGUUGUUGGCUUAGGUGUGUGGGAAACCUUACCUAGAACAAAGGGUAAACAGCUCUUUUACUUGUAGACUUGAAUCAUUGGGUCAAAAUGCCAGUUCAAGAUAGACUUUAUAUUUGAAACUCAAUUAUGAGUAAAUUUUUUUAGUUUAUUUAAUUAUAAAAAGUUAUAAAAUCGUAAUUAUAACUAUUUGAUAUUUUUCUUUUUUGGUCAUUAGGUAUUAAAUGGCCGACGGAAGAAUGAUAUGUUGGCAUAAUAAAAAUUUUAACCCUUAAAUUAACAAUCAAUGUUUACAUAUUGUGUAAUUUGGUUUUUAUUGUAGUUUUGUUUUUUUUGAGAUCAUUUCACAUAAAAAAAAUUCAAAAAAAAUUCAUCAGCUAAAUUUGAUAAAAAAAUAUGUCAAAAAUAGAAAUACCCAAAAACCCAAUAUUAUAAUUCACUCUUCGAUACUUCGAUUAUGGGAAACUAAUGGUUGACAAGAUUUUGUCUUCAUCAGUUCACUCUUCACCGAUUUUAUAAGAUUCAUACUUGAGGACUAAAUUAGGUAAUGUGUGAAUGUUGAGAAUUAAAUUUGUUAUUAUGCCAAUUUUAAAAGUUAUCUUGUUAUUUUUACAAUAGUACUUAACGGCUGUUGACCAGAAAAGAAAAAGUCAAAUAAUUGAGUGACUAUUUUAUAACUUUUCAUAGUUAAGUGACAAAAAAGAAACAUUUUAACAGUUGAGUGACUAUUAAUGUAGUUUACCCUUCUUUAUAUAUAAAAUAUAGUUUGAUUUAUUAAUAAAUGAAACUAAAACUAUAUUUGAAAAUAAAUGAAAUGAAUUACUAAAGCUUUUAUACAAUAAACCCUCCUAAAAACCAUUUAUAUUUUCAAAAUUUUGACAAAUUAUAUGUUACUUGUUGUAUACUUUACUUCAUUUUAUUUUCAAAAUUUGAUUUUUCCUUAUUGGAGGCUAAUAGGAACCAUCUCAUGUUUCCAUUGUUUGUAUAGAUUUUCCAGUUGCAAGCUGUAGGUUUGAGACUUGGAGCUGGAACCAUCUCAUGGUUCAUAUAGCCAGGCAAUUUCCUAAUCCCUGGUUCAGGCCAAAAUAUGGUCCCUCCACAUACAAUAAAAUUCGCAAACCUUCAUCUUGGUAUUAUUGUUUACAAAGGUUGAAAUUUUAGAUUAUAAAAUUAAAUAAUCCUCCCAUAAACUAAAUACUGAUAAAAAUAAAAACUGAUAUAUCAAAAUCAAACAUUAAGGUUCCACUCAUUAUGAAAUAAGGUUAAAUAAUGCAGAUGGCACAGUUAAAGAAUUAACUAUUAAGCCUCUAGUACUGAAGAAUCCAAUCAUACAAAUAAGCUAAAAAAAGGAGGAGAUGAUGGGCAAAAGCCAAAGGUCCCUGCAAUGACAUAAAAAAAGUGGCCAUACUUUAGUUAUGUAGCAGCCAAAUAACAAUAUUAUAAUGUGUGUAUGUCUCUAAAGUGACAGCAUCCUUCCCCAACAAUUUUGUAUAACAUUAUUUAUUUUAGGUCCUGGACAAAAGUACCAUUAUAAUUUUUCUACAGCUCGAAUGAUGGGAUAGAUAGCCAUUUGAGAGGGCUUGGAAUGUUUUGAAUAUUGGGUUUAAUUCAGUUUUUUAUGGGUUCUGAAUGUAUUUUUUUUACAUAAUAUUUAGAAUUAUUUUUAAUUUUUUAUUAAUUCAUAAAUAUGAUGAGAAUACGUUUCAAUACAUUUCAGUUUACGUUCUCUUGUAUUGACAAUGAUGCCCAUGCUAAUCGAGUUAAGAUUCAAUCGAUAAUUAUUUUUAAAAUAUACCAUUUAAUAAAUUUGAAUUUGAAUUUUUAUAUUUAUAAUUAUUUUUAUUGUUAAAUUAUUUUCUUUUUUUUUUUUAGAAAAAGGGGAAUAUAGCUUUUGAACGAGUUUGGGUGGCUGGGAAUAAUGGAAUAACUAAAGAAAAAGAAAAGGGUGGGUUUUGCUUACCAGCUUGCAACAAUGAGAGAAGAUAAUAUGAAGUUGCAUUAUUGAGUUUGUCUGGGUUCGUAUGGGAACAAUUUCAAAGUCUUCUUUGGAGUCAGAAAUAAAAAUUAAAACUUUGAGACUCAAAAUGUAAAUUUAUUUUUAUACUAAAUUAAAAUAUUAAAAAAAGUUAAGAGGUAAUAUAGAAAUCUUUUUCUUUAAGGGUCAAGAUCAUUGUCUGCCCCUUUAAUGCCAUCCCUCGUGCUAUGUAUGUCUGUAUGGGAUAAAUUUAAGGCCAAGUUAGAAAUUUUUUUAAAUUAAAUUAGGAGUAAAAUAUAAAUGUUAGGAAGUUAAAUGCAAUUUUACCAUUAUACUAAGUUAUAAUAAAGCAAUUAUACCAUUUUGGGGGGCCAAGGUCAUUAGCCCUCAAAUGGUAAAUUAUUAUAUAAUCCUUUAAGAUUUUGUAAAAUUAUAAAUUAAUAUAAUGAUAAAAUUACACUUUGAUCUCUUAAAAAAUUAAAAUUUAAUUUUGACCACGUUGUCACUUUCCCUUAAAAAAAAAAAAGUGGGUGAUCCAAACAUUUUGCGCUAGCCAGGAUAAAUAGAUGAUGGGUUGAUUUUUGUCCUUCAAUUUAAAAUUUCCUUUUCUUGUGGGAAAUGAUUAAAGAUAGUGGACUCUUGGACAAGAGUGAAGAGUCCAAUUAGCAAGCUGGAAAUUCAUAAUUCCAUGUACUUGCCCCAAAUCACUUUUUGCCAGUAAGCCCAUCAUAUGGUGGAAUAUUUGUCAUAUUUCUUAUUAUGUAAGCCCAUACCACUAUUUGUCCUUACUUCUCACAUCUCAAAGUUAAAUUUGUUCAUUUGUUCAUUAAUCGAGUUAUUUUAUCGAAAUUCAUUUAAUAUUUAAAAGAAUUUUUAAAACAAAAUCACUUGAAAAACAAGUUUGAAUGAAAAAAAGAGAGACUUGAUUAAAUUAGUCCCUCUACUAUUAAAUAGAUCAAUUUCAAUACAUUUAAUCAUUACAAACACUACACUACAAAAUUAACUCAACAACUAUUAGGAAUACACAUUUUACUACCACUAGCAUUACUUUGAACCCAAAAUUAAGAACAAAACUAUUAAAUUCCCUUAGUUGCAGCUUGCAUCUCAUUCUAACAAAAACCAAUCCCAGCAAAUUUUUCCUUCUAAGUUCUAAAUUUCUUAACUUUUAAACAUAUUCUUCUAACACGAAAUCUCUAAUCCUUGAUAUUUUAGGGCAGCAAAUGCAUGAUGUUGGCCUUCUUUUUGAUUUUGCAUGCCUUUUUUUCUCGUCUUCCCAUCUCAUUUUCGGUACCCCUUUGGCAUCUAUUUCGUAUAAAACGACAUCAAUAUAAGGAGCUUCUUGCUGUUGUUUCUUGGCACUCCAUGAAUUUGUUACCUUAGCAAUGGCAGCUUUGAUUUUCAUUUUCCAUUUCGAUUUCGAACCAGGUUCAUGUCUUGUGAUCUUGUUGUCUGAAGGACCAGGAGCUAUGGUGGUGUCUGUUUCACCACUUGGUUCCAACCACGUCCUGAAUGAUGGUUCUGGUAAGCUUAACAAAAUACACGCCUCUAGUUCAGUGUCUUGCUUCUUCAAAUUAAGGCACACUUCUACUUCUGGAUUUGCUGAGAAAAAUAAAAUUCAAGCAUGGAAUAUAUGGUUACACAAAUUGAACUUUGAGCCCAAUACAAAAAUGAGUAUAACCAAAAAUAUUCCCGAGCUAAGUUGACUUAAAAAUUCAAUUGACAAACUUGAAUGAUACAAAUCUAAUAUAACCAGAAUAUGAAAUGACUCAAAAAUUUUAGAAUUCAAAUUAAUUAGACCUAUAUCGGUCUAAUUCAAAAUUAACCUCCCCCUCAAGUGACAAAGUAACUAAAUUAUCAACCUUACUACCUCCCUUACAGAAAUUUUUUAUUUUUCUCAUUUGUAUCCAACAAUUUUGUAGAAACCUAUAAAUGAAUAGGGUAUAAAUAAAAAUAAAUUUUGAUACACUUGGAUUGAAAUUUAUUAAAAUUUUGCUAUAUUUUUUUUAAUUUUAAAAUAUAAUUUAAGGAUAAGAGUAAUGUAAAUUAAAAAAGAUUCUAAUUAUUUGUAAAAUUUUAAAAAUAAAAAAUUACGAGACAAUACCUUCAUUUGUUGGAGGGAGAUAACCAAUUCUAGGGGAAAAAGUAUUGUCGACGAUGACAGCGCUUCGAAAAGAAAAUGCAUCGAUAUCUUCGUCUUGUAAAUCCAUUAGGUCUCUCAAUGUAUAGUAUAUCGGACUUAUUUGUAACGUUUCAACCUUACUUGAAUCAACACCUUCAUCGGUUUCAUCGCCACAGUCUACUUGAUUUCCCUUGCGAUUGUUAACCUGAUGUUUAUUUUCUUCUCGGGGAUCUUCUGUUGCUGCCAACAAACCCGAUUCGUCUUUAAUCAAACUUAAAACAAGACCUUGAAUCAAUGGUCAUUGAUUUCUAAAGCAAAAAAGGACCCAAAAUUGAACUCAAAUAAGCUAGAUUUGGUAUGGGGUUUAGUUAGGUUUUUCUUAUGUGAAUUGCCUUUUGUGUUAGUUUAUAUAAAGAGAAGCUUGAUGUCAAAGGAUUCUCGAACUUUGCUAAAGCAAGAAACAAAUUAAUACCUUUCCAUUCUUGAAAAAUACUCAUUCCAAGCUAUAUUAGAAUAAAAACAAAGAAGUUACAAUAAAUACAUUAAAAUCUGCAAUAAAUGCAUUAGAUUAUCAUAUCAAGUAAUUUAAUUAGUAGUUCAAAUUGGAUACUUGGUAUGUUAAAUUCAAGGCUAUGAGUGAGGAACAAUGCAUGUUAUUUAAGAAGCAAACCCAGUUCUUCACAUCAUCCUAAAUUCCUUAGUUUUGUUUAAUUAAUUUAACUAAUGAAAGAUUUUGUUAACAAUCUAUUAUAUCUUGAUUGAAGAGAAAUGAUUGUAUGAAUAUGGAUAUUAUUACUUUGCAAUAGUUUAAUGCCGCAUCAGUAAUUUUAUCCUGACUUUUAGGAUUUUCAUUUAGAUUUGAUUUUUUUUUGUUCAAGAUGAAAAUGCAUGAUGUGGUAUUAAAUUAUUGGUGAAAGGAUAUAGAUGAUGUGACGUCACUGUUUCAUACAAUCCUUUCCCCUUAAAUGAGUUGGUUUAUCCAUCAAUCAAUUUCCAAUUCAAUUGAAAAAUUAUCAAAAACUAUAAAAAAAAUAGUCAUCCAAUUAUGCCUUUGCUUCUAAUUUGGUCACUCAACUAUUAAUUUUUUCGAUUUAGUCACUUAAUUUUUCAAAAUUAAAUAUUUUUGUCACAGUUCCGUUAGUUGCCUUUAGAUGAGUGACAGAAAGUUGAGGUGGGCCCGUUUAUAUUGGCUUAAUAACAAUUUAGCCCUUCAAUGUUUAUACAUUAUAUCAACUUGAUUUUAAAUAUAAAAAAUUCAACAAAUUUAACCAUCAAUGUUUACAAAAUUUAUCAUUUUAGUUUGAAUUCUAAAAAAUCAAUAAAUUUAGCCCUCAACAUUUACAUAAUAUGACAAUUUAACUCUAAUUCUAAAAAUUUCAAAAACAAAAGGAAAAAUAUUUAAAAAUGUUCAUUAUUUAAUAUUCCUUAUUGUACCUCUAAAACCCGCUGCACAAGAAGAUCAUUUAACACCAUUCGUAUUGUGCUCAUUUUAAACUAAUGCCAUCUUCAUGCUAAAAAAUCAAGUUGGCUUAUAUCCAACUAAGUUCCAUAUUUUAUAUUAAUAUCAUAUUAUUUAAUUAAAUUCCUCUAAAAAAUAACAAAAUUUUUUUAUUUUUCUUAAACACAAUUCGACAAUUUUAAAAUUCUUUUCAAUUAUACAUAAAAUUGCAAUUAAUAUAUUUAUUUGAAACAUAUAAUUAUAAAUGUUUAUUAAAAAUCUAAUUAAACCUUGAUUUAAUCCCUCUUCAUCUUCACUGAAUAUAAUUAGAUGUUAAGUUAUUUGUAUCUUAUAACUCUUAAUAUGUAAUGAUAGAAAAAAAAAACACCUAACUUGGAAAUGUAAAUAAUGAUAACUAAAAUUUUAAAAGUUCUAAAAAUAUAUAACAAGCAAAAAAGAGAUAAACACUUGAAUUCUUAGAAGUUUUAACAAUAAUAAUAAAUAAGCAAUGAAUUCGUGAGAGAACGGCAUUGAAAUUAGACUUUGGGUUUUUUAUUUAAUUAUAAAAUAUGUAAAAUUUUAAUAAAAACUAUACUGAGAAUUUAGAAGUAAUGAGUUUUGUUUUGAAUUUUAAAUGAGUUUAUAUAUUUAAAAAAUAAUAUAUAUUUUUAAAAUUUUUAAAUGAAUUUUUUAAACUUUUCGUUGUCCAACAGAAUAAAUUGAAAUCAAACCGAAUUAUAAAAACUCAAAUCGAACUGAAUAGCUGGUUAAACUCGAUUUCUCAAUUUGGUCGGAUUAUUUUCUCAGCCUAGCACGCAAGGUCCACGGCUGGUAUGUUAAUUUUGAUAUGUGAAAUUGACAAGAGGUGAGAUUAGUUCGCUAAGUGCGGGUAUUAUACACCGCUUAAUUACCUGAUUUUGUCUGGGCUGCUACCUAAUUUUGGGGCCUCCUAAUAUAAUAACCUGAUAAUCAUUUUCAUUUUUCACAUUCUAAUAUUAAUAUAUUUUAAUUAUUUUCAGUCAUUUAAAUUUAUUUUUGAACAUGGUAAUCUACAUAAUAAUCAACAUGUACUUCAUACUAAUUAACUUUUUAAAUUUUUUACAUUUUCUUAGUUUUGAAUUUUUUGAAUAUUUUUAUGAAACAUAAAUUAUUUGUUGAUGUAGCGUAUAAGACAAAUAGUGACAUAUCAGCAUGAAGUACAUGUGAACUGCCACGUGCGUUGUCACGCCAACAUCGUUAAAAUACUAACUUUUUAGUCUGUAUUCUCGUUAGAAAAAGAUUUGACUCUUUUUGAAAUAUUAAUAUCUGAAUUUAAUUUUAAAAAAUAAAAGUCAAGUUAACAAAAGAUGUAAACAUUAAAAGCUAAAAUUAAUAUUAUAAAUUUUAUUUGUAGAUUGUAACCAUUAAGAGUGGGUUUGGAUGGGUGAUUGGGUACAGUGCAUUUAGUUUAUUUUUUGUCUCACGCUAUAAUAUCGUUAUAGUAUCUAAUCUCACCACCGCCGCCUAAUUCUAAUUGUAACUUUACAGAGUAAUUGCAACUUGCAAAUUGUGCUUAUUAAAAAAAAUGAAUCAUUUAAAUAUAUUAUUUCAAAACUACUAUUAAAAUAAAUAUUUAAAUAUUUUUAUUUUAAAAAUUUCACCCUAUUUAUAAAAUCUUAAUCAAUAAUAGCUAAUUAUUUUAAAUAAAUCAUCAAAUAAACUUUUUCUCACUUUCAUUUUGUCCAGUAAUAACUAAUUACUUGAACUUUGAAUUGCAAACUCAAACUCGAGCACUGAACCUUGAACCCCAAAUCUAAAUCCUGAACUUUAGGGUUUGAGAUUCAAGGUUCAAGAUCCAAGUUCAAGGUUUGGGGCUCAGAAUAAAAUAAUCAUCAAAAUUAUGUGUCAAUGACAUGAAAAAAAACACAAAAAUUACUAUUUUUUUAAAAAAAAUUUGUUGCACAAAAAUAAAAAAUAUGAACUUAUGAAAAAAAUGAUUAAAAUUCGUAAAAAAAGAAAAUAUGUUUAUUUAUAAUUUAAGAAAUUAAUUAUUUGAAUUAAUUUAAUUAAAGUUCAAUUAAGUUGGAGAAGAUAUUAGAUAUAGAUGAGUGUAUAAUAAUACUUUGUUAUCCUUAAAAUUUAAUGACAUGACACUAAUCUAUUGGUGUCUAAAAAACUAUACUUUUUAGGAUAAGUGGUUGGAAUAAUUUAUGAUUAUUUUAUAAUUAUUUUAUUAUUAGAUAUUUUAAUUAAUAAAUUAAUGGUUAAGUAAUUAAAAAGGAUGAAAAGAAAGCCAUCUUCAUCGCUUCCAUCAUCUCACACCAUUCUUCAUGAAAGAAAAAAAGUGGACACAAGAAAUCAAUUAUUAUCGAAUUGUAUUAAAUCAGUUCUGUUCGAAUUUGAGGUUUUUAUAUUGUUUUUGGGUCUUAAAUUUUUAGACUUUAUUUAGAUAUAAUUGUCUUUAAAUUUGAACUUUUAAACUUUAAUUACAUAAAAUGGGUUAAUAUAUAUGACUUAUAUAUUAAAAAAAUCUUAUUUUUUUCAACUUUUCAGCGUCAAAUGAAAUAAACUGAAAUCAAAUCAAAAUAAUAUAGUUCAAUAACACCACUAACCGAAAUCGAAUUGAACUAUGAAAAAAUUAAAAUUGAACUGAACUAAAUUAUCAUUUUAACUCAAUUUCUCAAUUUUAUCGAGGUUUUGUUCAACCCUAGCUCAUAGAGUCCACUGUUCACAUGAUAAUUUUAGUGAGAUCUGCGAAAUUGACAAGAGGUGAGGUGAGUAAGUACAAAACUAUGUGUGUGUAUAUACAUAUAUAUAAUAGUAUUUAUUUUACACCAUUUUACUACCUGAUUUUGUCUCGUGUGCUACCUAAUUUUGGGGCCUCCUAAUAUAAUAACCUGAUAACCAUUUUCAUUUUUCACAUUCUAAUAUAAUAGACACCUCUGUACUAACUCAAUUUACCCUGCUGGUAUAAUUGUAAUUUUAUUUGUACAUUGUACACAUUGAGUCUAAUUGUAAUUCCAAAAUGCAAAUUGUACUUAUAAAAAAAUCAUUUAAAACUACAAUUAAAAUAAUUAUUUAAAUAUUUUAUUUCAAAAAUUUUCACCCUAUUCAUAAAAUCUUAAAUCAAUCAACAAAUCACUGUAAUAGCUAAUUAUUUAAAAUCAUUUUGUUCCUUACCUACCUAAUUUUGUCCUGUUAAAGUUUCCACCCAGCCUUCGAGAAAACAAAUUUUCCAUGUGGUGGACAAUUUUACCCUUUUAUUAUAGAUAUAAAUAGGUAGCCAAGCUCGUUGUGGUAAGCAAAACACGAGUGAAAGUGAAACACAACAAAGAGAAUCAUCCAUUCAAAUGGCAUUGACCUUGUCCAAGUUUAUCGUCCUCAAACCCAGCGACAAUAAUGGCUACUUAAGCUAUAUACGUGAAGGCGAAAACAACCUUGGGUUUCUCAAAUUCUUUGAAACUCAAGCCGUGAGUCCAUAUGCUAAGUUAGAAGUGGAGAUUUCCGACACAAAUGACUUGGUGCAUAUAAGAAGCUUCCAAAACAACAAGUAUUGGCAACGAACCAAAACCGUUUCCAUUGCCGGAGUCCCACUGGAGCAGUACUGGAUUGCCGCCACUGCCAAAAACAAGGAGGAAAAUCAAUCCAAGGAGACAUGUACGUUGUUCAAGUUUGCCCCUGUAGACCAUGCUACUGGUACUGUACGAAUCGUGCAUGUCCAAUCAGGGUGCAAUUUAUGCUUAUGGCUAGGGAGUGAUCUGAUACUUAAUCGCUGCGUAUCGGCAAACUACCGGGAGUUUGAUAGUAAUGGCUUUGAUAUCUUCAGCAUUAUUGAUUGUAAGUCGUCACUGGUUUUGCCAAAGUACGUUGCCUUCAAAGGACAUAAUAACAAGUACCUGUGUGUUCGUGAAAAUUACUUAGCAUUUUCAGCGGAUGACAUUGGUGACUCAACUGUGGCAUGCGAGACUUUUGUUACUGAUGAUGGAAAGGUUCACAUCAAAUCCAUUUGUGCUGGAAAGUUUUGGUGGGCUGACCCGAAAUGGAUUUGGGUAGGAUAUGAUGACCCUAGCAACUGGGGCGAAGGCAGAACAAUUUUUUAGGGGAGCCGGACGAAAUUUUAAAUUUUUAUAGUUGAUAUAUUCAUAAUUUGUAAAGGAUUAAAUCAAAUUUUUAUAAUUUUAGGGGGCCAAAAUAUAAUUUUACCUUUACUAAUUUAAAAUUUUUAAAAAAUUUUAAGAACCAAAAUACCAAUUUUACAUUUUAGGGGGGCCGGGGCCCAUGCUAGCCCCCUGGCUUCGCCCCUGCCUAGCAACAAUGAUGGCACCACGUUCUGCCUUGUCAAAGUUGACGAUAAGACUAUAGGUUUAUCAACCGUUUUGGCGUCCGAAACUUAAGCUUAAAACAUCGCCGUUUUAUAGGGCUAUAUAAGUAAAAAAAAGUGUUAAAAAAUUCAAAUUUUCAGUUUAAAAAAAAAAUCUCUUCGAGCCCCUUUUUUUCUUUCUUUCUCGGCCCUCUUGAAUUUGGCCUAGUUCGUUGCCCCGCCAUGGCCACCGGUCAUCGAUGAUGGCAACUGUCGCCUUCGAUGGCUGGAGUUUAAAAAAAUUGCUUUUUUGGCCUUAUUUAACCCCUAAGAGCCCGAUCUGAAGGCUAAUGCCUAAAAAAAAUUAGAACAAAAAAAAUAAAGAAAAUAUAAGAAAAUCUCAGCAUUGCGCAUUCGUUGAACCCUCGGCAGACCCUUAAUGGGCUCUGAGGUGAUGGUGACAGAAAGCGAAAUGGCAGGUAAGAAAGUCUUCUUUAUUUAUUUAUUUAUUAUGUAUUUUUAAAUGGAAAAAAAAAAUAAACUACCUUUUUUCUUUGUUUUUGAAAUCUUGUUUUUGUAUUUCUUGAUAUCCUCCUUUUUUUUCAUUACAAUUUGUUUAUCCCACUUUUAUUGCCAAGUGAUUAAAAAUAUUUGUAUUUGUUUUUUGUUUUCUUUUUUUGCUUCUGUCUUUUCUAUUGUUUUUGCUUCCUGUUUCUACACCGUUUCUGUUCUCUUGUUCUUUCUGUUUUGUAGGUGGGUGGCGGUGUGCGGUUAGUAGUGGGGAGAGAUCCAUGCCUUUGCCGUUUUGGUGCAAGGGUGGCAAAGGAGUAGACCUCGUGGCGUGGAUGUCUUCGGGAGAAGUGCCUACUGACAUGGCAAGGAGCGGUGCGAAUAGGGAACUCAAGGUUUUAGUUUUUUGAAAAAACGUUUAGGUUGUGGGUUAUUGGGCUUUGAGUUAUUGGGUAUUAGGGUUUUGUUAGACUGGGUAAUGUAUUUGGGCCUUGAUUGGGCUUGUUUGAUGGACUGGACCUUGUUCUUAUUAUUAUUACUAUUCUUUUUUUUGUUUUGUUUAUUGGGUUUAUUUAUGUGUGUUGGGCCGGGCAAAAUUGGGCCCUUACAGUAUUUAUUAUAAACUGCUUAAUUACUUGAUUUUGUCUGGUCUGCUACCUAAUUUUGGGAACUCUUAAUAUAAUAACCUGAUAAUUAUUUUCAUUUUUCACAUUCUAAUAUUAAUAUAUUUUAAUUAUGUUCAGUCAUUUAAAUUUACUUUUGAACAUAGUAAUCAAUAUGUACUUCAUACUAAUUAAUUUUUUGAAAUUUUGAAUUUUUUUGAUUAUUUUUAUGAAAUUUAAAUUAUUUGUUGAUGUAGUGUAUAAGACUAAUAGUGACAUGUCAGCAUGAAGCACAUGUGAAUUGCCACGUGAGUUGCCACACCAACAUCGUUAAAAUACUAACGUUUUAGUCUGUAUUCCCGUUAGAAAAAGAUUUGACUCUUUUUGAAAUAUUAAUAUCUGAAUUUAAUUAAAAAAAAGUAAAUGUCAAAUUAACAAAAGAUGUAAACAUUAAAAGCUAAAAUUAAUAUUAUAAAUUUUAUUUGUAGAUUGUAGUCAUUAAGGGUGGGUUUGAAUGGGCGAUUGGGUACGAUGCAUUUAACUUACUUUUUGUCUCAUGCUACAAUAUUGUUAUAGUAUCUAAUCUCACCGCCACCGCCUAAUUCUAAUUAUAACUUCACGGAGUAAUUGCAAAUUGUAAAUUGUGCUUAUAAAAAAAAUCAUUUAAAUAUAUUAUUUCAAAACUACUAUUAAAAUAAAUAUUUAAAUAUUUUUUAUUUUAAAAAUUUCACCCUAUUUAUAAAAUCUUAAUCAAUAAUAGCUAACUUAAAAUAAAUCAUUAAAUAUACUUUUUCUCACUUUCAUUUUGUUCCAUACCUACCUAAUUUCAUUUUGUCCGGUAAUAACUAACUGUAAACCCAAACUCGAAUACUGAACUUUGUACUCUAAAUUUAAACCUUGAAUUUUGGGGAAUACUGAACUUUGUACUCUAAAUUUAAACCUUGAAUUUUGGGGUUUGAGAUUUAAGGUUCAAAAUUUGAGUUCAAGGUUUGGGGUUCACAAUAAAAUAAUCAUCAAAAUUAUUUGUCAAUGACAUAAAAAAUACACAAAAAAUACUUUUUUUAAAAAAAAAAAAUUGGUUGCACAAAAAAAAAACCUUAUGAAAAAAAAUAAAAUGAUUAAAAUUUGUAAAAAAAGAAAAGAUGUUUGUUUAUAAUUAAAAAAAAUUAAUUAUUUGAAGUAAUUUAGUUAAAGUUAAAUUAAGUUGGAGAAGAUAUUAGAUAUAGAUGAGUGUAUAAUAAUACUUUAUUAUUCUUAAAAUUUAAUGACAUGGUACUAUUCUAUUGGUGCUUAAAAAACUAUGCUUUUUAAGAUAAGUGGUUGGAAUAAUUUAUGAUUAUUUUAUAAUUAUUUUAUUAUUAGAUGUUUUAAUUAAUACAUUAAUGGUUAAGUAAUUGGAAAGGAUGAAAAGAAAACCAUCUUCAUCGCUUCCAUCAUCUCACACCAUUCUUCAUGAAAGAAAACAAAUGGACACAAGAAACCAAUUAUUAUCGAAUUGUAUUAAAUCGGUUUUGUUCGAAUUUGGGCCUUAAAUUUUUAGACUUUAUUUAGAUAUAAUUAUCUUUGGAUUUAGCAUUUUAAACUUUAAUUAGAUAAAAUGGGUUAAUAUAUAUGGCUUAUAUAUUCAAAAAAUCUUAUUUUUUUCGACUUUUCAACGUCAAAUAAAAUAAAUUGAAAUCAAAUCAAAAUAAUAUAGUUCAAUAACACCACUAACUGAAAUCGAACCAAACUACGAGAAAACUAAAAUGGAACCGAAUUAAAUUAUCAUUUCAACUCGAUUUCUCAAUUUUAUGGAACUUUUGUUCAACCCUACCUCAUAGAGUCCACUGUUCACAUGAUAAUUUUAGUCAGAUAUGCGAAAUUGACAAGAGGUGAGGUAAGUACAAAACUAUGUGUGUGUAUAUAUAUAUAUAAUAGUAUUUAUUUUACACCACUUUACUACCUGAUUUUGUCUGGUGUGCUACCUGGAGUACCUGGGGACUCCUAAUAUAGUAACCUGAAAACCAUUUUCAUUUUUCACAUUCUAAUAUAAUAGACACCUCUGUACUAAUUCAAUUUACCCUGUAAUUUUGUUUAUACAUCGUACGCAUUGAGUCUAAUUGUAAUUCCAAAAUGCAAAUUGUACUUAUAAAAAAAUAAUUUAAAACUAUAAUUAAAAUAGUUAUUUAAAUAUUUUUAUUUUAAAAAAUUCACCAUAUUUAUAAAAUCUUAAAUCAAUCAACAAAUCACUGUAAUAGCUAAUUACUUCAAAUAAAUCAUUAAAUAAACUUGUUCUCACUUUCAUUUUGUUCCAUACUUAAUUUUGUCCUGUUAAACUUUCCACCCAACCUUCGAGAUAACAAAUCUUCCAUGUGAUGGACAAUAUUACCCUUUUAUUAUAGAUAUAAAUAGGUAGUGAAGCUCGUUGUGGUAAGCAAAACACAAGAGUGAAAGUGAAACACAACAAAGAGAAUCAUCCAUUCAAAUGGCAUUGACCUUGCCCAAGUUUAUCGUCCUCAAACCCAGCGACAAUAAUGGCUACUUAAGCUAUAUACGUGAAGGCGAAAACAACCUUGGGUUUCUCAAAUUCUUUGAAACUCAAGCCGUGAGUCCAUAUGCUAAGUUCGAAGUGGAGAUUUCCGACACAAAUGGCUUGGUGCAUAUAAGAAGUUGCCAAAACAACAAGUAUUGGCAACGAACCCAAACCGUUUCCAUCGCCGGAGUCCCACCGGAGCAGUACUGGAUUGCCGCCACUGCCCAAAACAAGGAGGAAGAUCAAUCCAAGGAGACAUGUACGUUGUUCAAGUUUGUCCUUGCAGGCCCUGUUACUGGUACGGACCGUACGGUACAAAUCGUGCAUGUCCAAUCAGGGUGCAAGUUAUGCUUAUUGCCAGGGAGUGAUCUGCUACUUAAUCGCUGCGUGUCGGCAAACUACCGGGAGUUUGAUAGUAAUGGCUUUGAUAUCUUCAGCAUUAUUGAUUGUAAGUCGUUACUGGUUUUGCCAAAGUACGUUGCCUUCAAAGGACAUAAUAACAAGUACCUGUGUGUUCGUGAAAAUUACUUAGCAUUUUCAGCAGAUGACAUUGGUGACUCAACUGUGGCAUUCGAGACUUUUGUUACUAAUGGUGGAAAGGUUCACAUCAAAUCCAUUUGUGCUGGAAAGUUUUGGUGGGCCAACAAUAGUGCGAUUUGGGUAGGAUCUGAUGACCCUAGAAACAAUGAUGGCCCCCCGUUUCGCCCUGUCAAAGUUGACGAUAAGACUAUAGGUCUUUUCAGUCUGGUCAACAAUAAGUUCUGCACGACCCUCACACGACAAAACGGCGAGGAAUGUCUUAACCCAGCUGUCCCAACCAUCACCAAAGAAGCCAAGUUAACGGUGGAAGAGCCAGACUUGACAAGGGAUAUCUAUGAUGUCAAAUAUGAUCUUGGUAAUUCCAGGGUUUACCACGAAACAACCUUUAUUAUUGCCAAGAAUUUUGCUAGUAACUAUACCCGACAACCCACCCAUAUGGACAUAAAGCUUUCAUAUACAAAUAUCAAGACUAGUACUUGGAAGAGUAAUUUUCCACUCAAGUUAGCAAUGGAAGCUAAAAUGGAAUUCAACGUACCAUUGAUUUCUCAGGGAAAUAUUGAAAUGUCCGGUGAAUUUCACUCAGAUGUCAAGUGGGAAGAGACCAAAGAAUCGAAAACUUUAGUAGACGUUGUACACAAAAUUGUUGUGCCUGCGAUGACUAAGGUGACGGUUAACCUCAUUGCAACCAAAGGUAAGUGCGAUGUUCCCUUCACUUUCAUGCAAAGUGACACUCUUUAUGACGGGACCAUUGUCACAACUGAAGUUCAAGGUGCCACUUACACUGGUUCCAAUUACUACAGCAUCCACUUUGAGACUGAAGAAACAAAGCUGGAUCCGUGAAAGAAGCCGGAGCCUAUGUAAUCUAUGAACACACAAAAUUUCAUUGCAUUGUGUGUGUGUGUUUGUGUGGUGUGCUAGCACGUGUGUGAGUAAAAUAGAAUCAUGUUUCCUUCAUGGAUGCAUGCGUCUAUGGUUUCCUAUAAUUAAGUACUACCAAUAAAUGUUGCAUGCAUAGCCUAGUGGCAUUGUAUCUCUCAAGUUUAAUGUGAGAUAUAUAAAUAAUGUAUGCUAUCUUUAUGUGGUGUGUAGAUCAAAUAUUUGUACUCCUGCUUUAUAUUAUAAUUUAUGAUGUGGUGUGUAGAUCAAAUAUUUGUACUCCUGCUUUAUAUUAUAAUUUAUGAGUUGCUGGUUGAUAAUAUCUGGUUAAAAAUUUCUAUCAUUAGCAUGUUUUAUCUAAUAAACAUCUUUAUUUUACAAAUAAAAAAUAAUUACUCAAGGUAGAUGGUUGAGAGUUAGAGGAAUUCUUGCUGAUAAUUCAAUAAUAUAUGAGAUAAGAAAAUAAAGUUGCAACAUGGUAAUCGGUAUGUAUCGUUUCAGUCGUAAAUCAGUAAUAAUUAGUCUAUGUUUCGUUCCAGUUAAAAUUUCGGUGUGCUUCGGCCAUUUCGGUGUAUUUCAAUCUAUUUCGGUCAAUAAUUAGUACGUAUCAACCCAAAUCGAUUGAUACAAAAUAUUAACUUUUUAAACUAAAUUUUAAAAUUUUUUCUUAACCAUUUUAAUUUUUUAACAUUAUAUUAAAAAUGAAAAGUUAUUAAAUUGAAUUAUUCAACCUAAUUAAUAAUUUUAAAACUUAUAUUUAGAUAUAAACAUAAUUGAAUUAUAGUUGCAUGUUAAUAUAAUAUAUAAUUUAUUUUUAACCAAAAUAACAAAUAAUUUAUAAACAAAAUAAAAAUUAAACUAUAAAUAUAUGUGAAAAAUGUUUAAAUAUAUAUAAUUUAUCAAAAAUUUAAAAGUUAAACUAUAUAUAUAUAUAUAUAUAUAUAUAAAAGAAAGCAUUUAAAAACACCCGUAAACUUGAAAUGAUAUAUUAAAACAUGCAGCUGUUGAUAUAUACCAUAAGAUAAAAAAUGAUACACUCACUAGCUACCUUAAUUCCACCUUCACUAUGGAUAAAAUGUCAAAUCAUAUGACUCUUUCUGCAAAAUGCAUCAACUUCAAACCUCUUGGUUGUUGUGAUGCUAAUUUAUCUAAAAUUAGUACUAUUAAAUUUGUAUUGAAGAUUUUUAUGAAGAUUAAUAGAUUGAAUUUUUAAUCUAAUGGUGAGCAUUUGAUUAAAUUAAAUAAAAGAAUUUUGAAUUAAUCAAGUUGAUGAAUCCUAUUUUAUCAUCCUAAUUAAUUUGAAAAUUUUUCGGGUCGAGUGAAAUAAAAUUCAAGUUGAAUAGAAUAGAAUCGAGUAAAAUUAUUCGAGUUAAACAUGUCAAAUUAAAAUCUUGUUACAAUAUAACUAAUUUCAUGUUGGAGGACAUAUAUUUGAAGCCAUAUAUAUUUAAAAACUUUUUCAAACCAAAAUAAGAAAAAAAAAUACUUUAGUAUUAUAAACUUGAAUUGUUAAUUAAUUUAUUUAGCUCCCAAAAUUAUUAGUUUAAAUUAUUUUAACUUUUUUUAUAUAUUCUUCAGAAUUCUUACUUUUUAUAAAUAUUUUAAAAUUUUAAAAUUAUUUUAUUAUUUUUUUUUUGUAGUUGUUGUUGAGUGAGAGAUCAAUUUGCUCAAUUUCAAAAUUGACAAGACUAUAGAAUCUCGUGUGUUGGCUUAAUGGUCAGGAUGUUCAUCGUCUUAGGUGUGGCUUGGGUUCAAGUUAUUCGAAUUAUUGAGUUAUUCGAAUGAUAAAAUUCAACUCAAAUUACUUAUCCGAGUUGAUUCGAAAAAACCAAAUACCUCAAAUAACUUGAUUUGAUUAUCUCGAAUUUUUUUUUUCAAAAUUUCAAAUAGAAUUAAGUUUUGCUCACCCUUAAUUAUCAUAUUUUAAUUGUUAAGUCAGACUAAAUGUUGUAGGUUCAUAGUGUUCUAAAUCACUCCCUCUACCUUAGAGAUGCAGAACAACUUUCAAAGUCAUUAAUCGUUAUAUUACCUUGACUGCUAUGUCAAAAUUACUCAUAUCUUGUGAGAAGUUAAUAGUUUAAAAAAUUCUUUAAUUAAGAUAAACAUAAAUAGAAAUACUAUGUUUAUGGUCUAAAAUGGCUGUUAUGGCGGUGUACUGCUGUUACUCUUUUUUUACAAGAUCCAUAAAAAAAUUCUAGUUUAUUAGAAAUGCAAUUUUUUAUUGAUUUGGUGUAAUUAAAAACCCCAUCACUAAUAUACCAUUAUAAAUUUAAAAACUUACCUCAUUUAUCAGUUGUUUUUCUAGAUUCAAUUAAAUCUAGUGACUAUGAAUAAAAUAGAAACUCUUUCUCAUUUUUCUAACCUUUAAAGUUUCUUUCAAAGUACGUCUAAAAGAACAAAAAAGAACGAAAGAAAGUUUCAUAUGUAUAUAAUUUUAAUGUUUAAUUUAUAGCAUUUUCAAUUAUAACAGCAUAGAAACAUCAAAUCGAAGAGCUAUCUUCUUAGAAGGUGAGACAGAAAAUGGUUCAAAAAAUAAUAGUAAGUCAAAUUCUCCUACUAUAACUAAGCUUUGAAUUUAUAAUUUAUAUUCUAAUUUUUUUUUAACUUUUAUAUUUUUUAAAAUUUGGAAUCUCAAUAUCUAAACGAUGAUAAUUAAAUUUGUUAAGUUAAAUUUUGUUACUAAUUUUAUAUCAAGAGUAAGUCGUGAAAAUUCGAUCAAUUUUAUCUUUUAUAGUAACUAUUAAAUCAUUAAUUAAAAUGAUGUGACUUUUUUUUACAAGUAUUAUGUGGGAAUAGUAAGUUGACGCUGUAUUAUACAUGUGAUAAUAUAUUUAUCGCAUAAAAUUUUGAAAACACCAUAAUUUAAUUUAGGGUAACUUAUACAAAUGAUCACUCAACUAUGCCCGCAUUCCUGUUUUGGUCACUGAACGUUGAAAAUAUUCAAUUUAGGCAUUAACAUUAGAAUUCGUUCUUGUUCUGGUCAUCCACCAUUAAAUUGAUAAUGAAAUUUCUUUUUCUAAUUGGUAUAAUAAUAUAUUUAGUCCUUAGUACUUAAGUGUUCUAUCAAUUGGAUCCUAACUUUAAAUAAUUUAAUAAAUUUAACCUUUCACAUUUAUAAAUUCUAUUAAUUUGAUCCUCAAACAUUCUAACCAAAACUUUCAACUUUUAAAACAGAGGCAUUCGACAUCUAUUAAUUGCUUUAUUUAUGGUUGAAAUUAUCCAAUUUGAUACAUAAACCUUUUGUUUAUAUUUUUAAGAAUUUUGUGUUAGAAAUUAACAAAAAACCAUUAAAAGUAAUAGAAAAUACAAAUUUUAAAAAUAUAAUAUAUAAUAAAAUUAUAUAAAUAAUUUAAUAUUUGUAAAAAAAUAAAAUUUCACUCUGACUAGAAUAAAUUUUUUGAACCACAUACUACCAUAAUGUUAGUUUUUAAUUAAUUUAGCAAAUGAUUUGACACUAAAUCAGACUAUUAGUGAUAAAUAUUGCUUAUUGUGAAUUUAAAAAUUAAAAAUAAAUAGAACAUAUAAUAAUCUCUUAACCUAUUUAUAAAAUUAAAGAAAUCAUUAUCAAUGUAACAAAAGAAAUUUCAAAUAAUUUUGUCACAUUUUUUUCUUAUGAAAAAUUAAAUGUUCAUAAUUUUUAUUAUAUAAUUAUUAAUUGAAAAAUUGGAUUUUUUUAAAGUAAUAUUUUUUAACUUUGGAAUUAAUUUCCAAUUUCAAAUAUCAAUUUCGAGGACUAUUUCUAAAUACCUUUAAGGAAACAUUAUACUGUUAAUAACAAGAGUAAAUUUAAAGUGUUUUAUUUUAAGGUUUUUCAUUUUCUUUGCCGAAAUUUCAUCAAUCAAAGGGUCAUAAAAUAUUAUAUUUAGACGAAAACUAAUAAAAAAAGAAAAUGAAAUAAAUUUUCACGAUAAUCUCAUUGGUAUCAAGAAUUGUUAAUAUACCAGUUAAAAAAAGGUUUUUUACUAUCAAUUUAAUGGUGGGUGACCAAAACAAUAACGGAUUUAAACAUUAAUGUCUAAAUUAAAAAUUUUUAAAAUUAAGGGAUAAAAUCAAAACUUUUAAUUUAAUGAAUUUAAAAGUUCCAUAAUAUUCAAAAUAAGUUGCAUAAUAGCUUAAAUAAAAAUGUAAUGGUGGAAUGUGAAAAUUUGAAUGCAGUCAACAUGUUAAAAUAAAUUUUAUAAUUUUGUAUAAAAAAUAUUAUUAAAUUAAAAUUUAAGUAUUAAAUUGUAACUUCAGCAAAAUAUAAAAAUAAAUAGCAAAAUUUAAUAAAUUGAAUUUGCUAAUAAAAUAUGAGACGUUAAAUUGUGUUUAAUUGUGCAAAAUUGAUUCAAAGCAUAUGACACCGGUCAAGGAACUACGCAGGGAGAGAAUUUUGACUCAUUUUUUUGUCUAAUUUUAUGUUAAUUAACUUAUUUUUUAUUUUUGUAUUGAAUAUUAUCUGUUUUUUAUUUUAUUAUAAUGAUUUUAUUUAUGGAAACUUAUAUAAAAAACAAUAUUAUAACAUUACAAUAUUGACUCAUUUAAUUUUGAUUUUCUAGAUUCUAUUAUUUUCAAUUUUUAAAGAAUAAAUUAUUGUGACUACGAAUAAAAAAAUUUAUAAUCUCAAUUUUGUCACCUUUUUUUCCUUUUGAAAUUCCCUUGUUCCAAGUAUCUUCAUAUUACAGUAAGUCAAACAUCCACAUACGCAUGCAAUAAGAAAAUGGGUAAAAGUAGUAUGAAAUUUUUUAUAUUAAGGGUUAAAUUGUAUUUUAUCUUUUUAAUUAAAAAAUAAAUAAAUUAGUUAUACGAUAAAUUAAUAAGUAAAUAGAUUUUUUGUGCUAAAACAUUUAUAUAUUUGUACGAUUAAAAACUAACAUAACUGACAAAAUAAUUAAAUAGUGACACAUGUCAGGGGUGUGGCUAAAGGGCUGGCAGGCUCACUCCUUAAAAUAAAAAAAAUUCCAUUUAAUAAAGGUAAAAUUACACUUUAACCUCUUAAAGAGAUACAAAAAUUGAUUUAAUCAUCUAAAAAUUAUAAAGAUUUAGAUUAUUAAAAUAGUAAAAUUAUAUUUUUAUUAUUGUAAAAAUUAUAAAAAUUAUAAAAAUUUUGAUUGAACCUUAAUUAUUGUGCUGGUCCACAAGUCAAGGAAAUGAACAGCAUAUGCCAUUAUUAUAUAUGAAUUGACUUCAAAUAUCUGGGUUUCUUGAAUCAAACUUUGUUCACAUGGCGGCUCAAAGCAUUGCCUCUAUAAAUAAGGGGAAUAUCUUGCUGAAAUCUUCACAAAUUCAUCACUUCCAUAAACAUGGAGUCCCUUAACCGUUCUCUGUCAUUGCUUUUCAUUGUUGUUUGCUCAUUGUCAUGGGUGAGUGCUUCAGCUAAUAGCCAUGAUGAUUUUCUUGAAUGCCUUUAUUCAUAUCAUCCCAAGGAAUCCUCUUCAUUUACUCAAGUUAUCUACACUGAAACAAACUCUUCAUAUUCAGCAGUUUUGGAUUCUUCCAUUAGGAAUCACAGGUUCUCUAUGCCUAAUACCCCCAAACCAUUGGUUAUUGUAAUACCUUUGAACAUUUCCCAUGUUCAAGCAACGAUUCAUUGCUCCAAAAAGCAUGGCCUCCAAAUUAGAACUCGAAGUGGUGGUCAUGACUUCGAAGGUCUUUCCUAUGUCUCCCAUGUCCCAUUUGUUGUUAUCGAUUUGGUUAAUUUGCGAUCAGUCGAUGUUGAUGUCGAAAACGAAGAGGCGUGGGUUCAAUCAGGUGCGACCGUGGGUGAAGUAUUCUACAGAAUCAAUGAAAGAAGCACGAACCUUACCUUCGCCGCAGCUGUUGUCCGCACUGUAGGAAUUGGUGGGUUGAUUAGCGGUGGAGGCGAUGGUUUAUUGUUCCGAAAAUAUGGUCUCUCGGUGGAUAACGUGAUCGAUGCGCAGUUGGUCGAUGCUAAUGGAAGAGUUCUUGAUAGAAGAUCGAUGGGUGAAGAUCUGUUUUGGGCCAUUCGAGGUGGCGGAGGGGGAAGCUUUGGGAUCGUUAUUUCAUGGAAAAUAAAGCUGGUUCAUGUUCCUUCAACUGUGACUGUUUUCUCAGUGGGCAGGACCUUGGAACAAAAUGCAACACAGCUUCUUCAUCGUUGGCAAUACGUUGCGCCCAAUCUUCCGAAUGAUGUAUACUCACUCGUUGCGAUAUCAACGACGAACGCCAGUGAAAAUGGGGCAAAGACGGUUCUUGCCACCUUUACUUCAUUGUUCCAAGGUGAUGCCAAUGAGUUUAUUCCAUUGAUGCAAGAACGAUUCCCUGAGCUUGGACUCGUUAAGGAAGAUUUUAUUGAGAUGACUUGGAUCGAAUCUCUAUUGUUAAUGAACGGAGUUUCAAAUGAAACAUCGGAGAUUUUGCUCGAUAGGAGCAACAGGUAUUCCCUUCUUCCUCCUUCAUUCAAAUCAAAAUCUGAUUACGUGAGGGAACCAAUGCCUGAAAUAGCAUUACAAGGGCUAUGGCCUCAACUUCUCGAGGUCGACGAAGGAGGCAUAGCAGUUCAAAACUUUAUUGCUUACGGUGGAAUAAUGGAGGAAAUCUCAGAGACAGAAACUCCAUUUCCACAUCGAAAAGGCACCUUAUACAAGAUAAACUACAAUAUCGGUUGGCUAGAGGAGGAAAACAAUAAUUCUCAAAGGUAUAUAAGCUGGAUGAGGAAACUUUAUAGCUACAUGGGUCCUUUUGUUUCGAAAUCUCCACGAGAAGCGUAUGUUAAUUACAGAGAUCUCGAUAUCGGAAGGAAUAAUUACUAUGGCAAGACAAGUUAUAAGCAAGCAAGCAUUUGGGGACGUAAAUAUUUCAAGAAUAAUUUUGAUAGGCUUGUUUAUGUCAAGACGAAGACUGAUCCAAAGAAUUUCUUCAAGCAUGAACAAAGCAUUCCUCCUCGUUUUCAUUGAUAGAAAAAAAAGAAGAUUAUAUUAUGAGUUAUAUUUAGUACCUAAUAAUUCUAAUAAUUCGUCAUCACUGUUGUUUAGGAUGACUAAUUCUUCAAAAUUCAAAUCUAGUUCAAUAUUAUGAUGUACAAUAAGUACUCUAUACAAUUUCAUUACUUAAUAAUACAUUGAUUCUGUUUUCCAGUUUUAGUUUAAGUCAGUUUUGAUGAUCUUAUCAGUUUUGUCAAUCAGUUUAGACAAUUUGAUCAAUCAAUUUCAAUAAAAUCGAUGGUUCAAUCUCUGUGAGAUAGACCCUAUUCUAUAUGCUACAAAUUUAAUUUAUUUUUAAUGUACUCAACACCCAUCAAUAGUCCAUACGUCAUUAAAUGCCAUCACUAAGGAGAUCGUUUUAAGAAUCCAUUAUAUCUUGGUUGAUGAGAAAUAAUUGUAUGGAACAUGGAUAUUAUUAUUGUCGAAACUAUCUUUUUUCGGCUUAAAAAAAAUGGACGACUGACUUUUUAAAACAAAGUGUGGAGCCGCCACCAAUCUUUUUUGUUUAGUGUGAUUGGAUCACCAAGAAGUUUGGUCAUUUUUAAUAAAACAUUUUAGUUUACUAAAACAACGAUUUUGGCCUAUGUAAAUAUGAGAAAAUGGGUUCGGGAGUCAGUUACGUAUGAGGAAGGAUUAGCACCUUCAUUACGCCCAAAACUAGUACCAAAUCGAUUAAAUGUUGUCCUUAUGUCUAAGAUUUAAAAAUGUUUUUGAAAUGUGGUUCCUUUUAUAAACAUUUGAAUAGCCCGAGUUGGUCGUCAAAAUUCUCUUGUUUCAGUGGAAUAUAGCAUCACAUCCAGCACAAUUGGACACGAUCCUUUAUACCCUCGAAAACAUGAUAAAUUUCGAGUUCCAAAAGUUUAUAUGUUGGAAAUCGGAGAAGGAUGCCCAAUUAUUUAGUCCAAUGAGAAAAAACGAAACCCAACACAGUAGGGCACGAUUCUUCGAAUUUCUAGCCAUUGAACAUUGCCUUGUUUUAAAAUUUAGAAAACAUGAGUGAAAUUUUAAAGGGAUAUUCGAUUAUUUUGAACAAACGGGAAAUUGCAACCCAGCACGAUAGGGCACGAUUCCCCGAGUUGCCAAACAUCGAACAUUUCCUUUGUUUUAAAGAAUUUUUAAAGAUAUGAGUGAAAUUCCAAAGGGAUAUUCGAUUAUUUUGAACAAACAGGAAAUUGCAACCCAGCAUGAUAGGGCACGAUUCCCCGAAUUGCCAAACAUCGAACAUCGCCUUCGUUUUAAAGAAAUUUUAAACGAAUAAUUAUAAAACCCGCUUAAAACACAUUAUUUUGUCUUGAAAUAGAAUGAAAUAAUUGAUUUUUAAGAGUUGAAAACCAUAAAGCAACAUUUUGUAAACCAAAUGGAAAACAAUGAUAUGGGAUAAUAUACACAUACAAUACUUGAUGAAUGAUGAUAAUGUAUCUUAUUUAAUCAACUAACAAAAAAGGGGUAAUUAAACAUGAUUAAUCUAAAAAUAUAGCCCAAUUUUCAAGCAUGUACGGAGAAUAACUAAUAUAACAAUACAAGACAACGAAUAAAUAAUAUGCAACGACGAUCUAUGGAAUAAUAUAUAUAUAAAAAAAAGCCAAUCAACAUACGAAACAAUAUAGAAAUUAAGAGCUACUAUGAGGCAAAUCGAUAUAAAAACUAUAUAUAAAGAAAAUCAUAAGUGAAUAACACAUGCAAAAUUUGAAAUAAUUUAUAUAUGUAAAAGAAACUAAGUAUACACAUAACUUGUUAUAAAAAUAGAUAAUAUAUAAAAGAGGAAAUUUGAAUCAAAUAAUGUACAAAACAAUUUUUUUAAAAAGAAAUAUCUAUUUGAAGAUAACCAUGUACAUAUAAAAAGAAAAAUAAUUUAUAUAACAUCUACGCUAUAUAUAAAAAAGAAUCGAAUAUGAGGAUAAAAUAUAAAUAUGUAUAUAUAAAAAUAUAUGAGAAUUUUUAAAUGAAUGAUAAAACGAUUUUAAGGAUACAUCAAGUUUUAAAGUGGAAAAUAUACAUAUAUGUAACAGCACAAAACGAAUAGCAUAUAUCUAAAAUAAAUAAUAUAUGAUAACCUUAGAUUAAUAAUAAAAUAAUUUAAAAAUAAAAGAUAUUACAAAUUUUUAAUUCAUAGUUAAAAAUAGUUAAAAAUGAUUAAAGCCUAAGUAGAUAUAUGUAUACAUUAUAUAAUAUAUGAUAAAACCCUUUAAUAUAACUAAUAAAAAAGAAAAAAUGAUUUAAGAUAAAUACCAUAUAGAAUAUUAAAAUAAAUAAAAAGGGUUAAAAUCCGAAUAACUAAGGACCAAAUCAGAACGAAAAUAAAAUUCAGGGCAAAAAGCGUAAAAUAAUAAGCGCAUAAGGACCAUAUUAGAACGCGCGUCGCAAGAAAAGGACUAAAUGGGAAAUUGUACCCUAUAGCCAGAAUGACGUCGUUCUCACGUCCUACCUUCAAGAGGUCAAAGGACUAAAUCGAACCAAAGUAAAACAAAAGAGUCCAAAUUAAAAAAGGAAAUUUAAUGAAACUGAAUAGCAGUGAAAAUGAGGAAGGACUAAAUGAGAAAAUUCCCCAUUGAUGGGAAACACACGGAUCCUUCCCGGGUCGGGUCAUGCGCGUGGGUCAUGCCAUGAAACGACGCUGUUUCAACACCAAUACUGAAGGCUUAAAACGACGCCGUUUUACACAUAUGUAUAAACUAAAUUUUGCCCUAAAAUUUCAUUUGGCAGAUUAUUUGCUCAAAAAGCCUUAAAACCCCUUUUCAAAACUCUCUUAACCUCUCCCCCUUUGGCCGACUCUUGGGCUUCACUGGCACAUAAUGUGCCUCCACCACCGCCGAAACCCAAAGCCCUUUUUUGGUUCCGUUUCCAUGCCAGAGAGACUCCGACGACAGAACCGCAGGCGUAUUUAGAUAAACUCUUCUCUUUUUCUUAUUUUCUUAUGCUAAAAAAAACCACAUGCAAACUUCAAAGAAGAAAACCCAUUCAAAAAAGAAAAGAAAAAUGGGACUUGAAAUCACCUUUCAAAAAUAAUUUCGGCUUGAUUUUUUUGUAUUUUGUAUUUCAGUGUGCGUAAUAUGCGUGUAACCUUACAAACGAUGAAAUCUCUUGGCUUUAUAGCUGAAGAGAUAGAAAUGAUAAAAAAGAAAUAAAAAAAUACAAUAUUUGUUCUUUGUUUUGCUGUGCGUUCGUCCUUUUUGCAGGUACAGGUGUGCGUGGCGCGAGUACGGGGGUUGUGCUGGCGUACGGAGGCGCGGGCGUGGCUGCUGGAACGCUGGAGCAUACGGAGGUGGUGGCGCGUGUGACGAGCUGAGCGGCGCCUAGGGUUUUCCUUCCCUCCUUUGGCUGAAAAAUGUUUAGGAUAGUUGGGCUAGUUAGGCUUUAGGGUUUCUAGAAUUUUGGGCUUGUUUAGGCCUGGGUUUAAGGUGUAAAUGGACAUUCAUUUUGGACUAUUUUAUUUUUAUUUGGGUUUUAUAUUUAUUUUUGUUUGUAACGGGCUGGGCAAAUUUGGCCUACUACAAUUAUUUUGUAAUUGUUUAAUGCCACACCAGCAAUUUCAUUCUUACUUUCAGGAUUUUCAUUUAAAUUUGAUUUUUUUGUUUAGGAUGAAAAUGCUGACGUAGUAUUAAAUUAUUGGUAAAAUGAUACAAAUAAUGUGGCGUUACUGUUUUAUACAAUAAUUCCCCCUUAAAUGAGUUGGUGUUACCCAUCAAUCAAUUUCCAUUUCAAUUGAAAAAUUAUCAAAAACUUAUUCUUUUUAUAAAGUAAAAAUUAUUAUUAAAAGGGUGGUUUGGAUAAGACACCAUAUAGCUUUGGGUAAACUAUAAUAGGCAUCCAAUUAUGCAUUUAUUUUUAAUUUUGUAAUGACCCGAAAUUCACGGGCACUGGAAAAGUGAGUUAUAGGGCCUCCGUCUUAGUGAAAUAAGUUUGAAAAUAAUUAUUAAAAAUAUUUAUGAGCCUAGUGGUGUGUCUAAUUAGGAUCUAAAUAGGUGAAUUUAGCUUAAUUUAGAGUGAAUAAUAAAAAGGAUUAAAUUGAAUAAAGGGUAAAAGUUUAAUUAUAAAGCAAUAGAAAAUAAAAAGGAUUAAAAUGGCAAUUAAGCCAUUGACUACAAAUGAGGCGGCAUAUUGGUGAAAUAAAAUCAAAGAUUUUUUUUAGGUUUUAUAUAUUAUAAUGAUUAUUAUUAUGGUUUUAUAUUAAAUUAUUAUAAUUAUUAAUUAACAUUAUGGUUUUAUAUUAGAUUAUUAUUAUUAGCAUUAUUAUUAAAUAAAUUAAAUAGUAGAUAAUUGUAUGGUAAUAAAAAUAUACAUGUGUAAAAAUUAUAUUGGUACAUUUGUAAUUUAAAUACUUAAUUACUUAUAAUUUAAGUAAAAAGAUAUUUGUUAAAUAAAUAAUUAAAUUAUUAAAAUUAUGAGAUUUUUGUUUGAGAAACAAAUUAAAUAAUGACAAUGGUAAUAAAAUUAUUGGUACAAAUGUAAAAAUAAAUAUGUAUCCAAUUGUAAUAUUAGUAUUUGUUAUGAAAAUAGAUUAAUUAAAUAUAAAAUAUAACAUAAAAGAAAUAAAACAAAUGAAAAGCAAAAAAAAGAAAGAAAGAAAGUUACAGAGAGCAUUCGAAACAGGGGAAAGAAGAGAAGAAAAAGAAAGAAAAAAGGGAAAAUAGGGUUUUUGAAGCUUGGAGUUAAUUUAGUAAGUCAAUUAAGUCCUUUUUAGUUAAUUUUGAUGUUUUAGAAGCUUUAAAACAAGAUUUUGAUGAAAUUAAGUUGAUAGUUCAAGAAUUCAUAUGUUUCCAAAUAUGGUUCAUGUUGGACAAAUUAUGGAAUUAGGGAUUUAAUUGAAUGAAUUCUAAGUUAGAAUUUAUUAAGGGAUUAAAUUGUAAACUAGGCUAUAAGUUUUAUGUUGUAGGGACUAAAUUGAAGAAAUUUCGAAAUUAGGGAAAUAUGCUGGAAAUUUUAUAGUUAAAUAUAAGUUUAGACAAAAUUUGAAUAGAAAAAGAGAGUGAACUGGAUUAAGAAAAUAAUUAAGUUUAGUUAGGAUUAAAUUGGGAAUAAGGUACGAAUUGUUUAGAAAUUUAAUUAUUUAUUAUAAUUAAUGCUGUAAAUAAUAAUGUAAAUUAUUUUCGUAGCCAACAAAGA
rnacentral:lncRNA from 1 species